rnacentral:rRNA from 1 species
CCGAUACCCGACCGGCUGCCUCCGGCUCCCUCUCGUCGCGACACGCGGGGUGAGUCCCUUUCCCCCGCCUCUGUUGCGUCGGGGGUUUUGGGGUCGGCGGGCGAAGGUCUUUUUAUUCUGUGGAAACCUGCUCGCAGUGGGGAACAGGCCCAGGACUUGCCAAGGGCGUCGCGCGUCCUCACCCUCGGUCGCGCUGGGUGGGGUCUUGGGCGAGCGUGCAGUUGGCAAGUACCAAGAGCAGGCAUGUUGGGACCCGAAAGGUGGUGAACUAUGCCUGGCCAGGAUGAAGCCAGAGGAAACUCUGGUGGAGGUCUGUAGCGAUUCUGACGUGCAAAUCAAUCGUCAGAGCUGGGUAUAGGGGCGAAAGACUAACCGAACCAUCUAGUAGAUGGUUCCCUCCGAAGUUUAUCUCAGGAUAGCUGGAACUCGCCACCAGAUGAAUUUCAUCCGUUAAAGCGAAUGAUUAGAGGUCUUGGGGACGAUACGUCCUCAACCUAUUCUCAAACUUUAAAUGGGUGAGAUGCCGAACUUGCUAAGAAGAUGAAGCUUCGGCGACGAAUCGGAGUUCCUAGUGGGCCACUUUU